rnacentral:lncRNA from 1 species
ACCCAACCAAAGUUUUGCACCAAACAAAGAUAGCAAACUGGUUGUAGAACUUGAUAUGAAACUUUCAGCACUUGUGCAAAUAAACCAACUAAUCUUUCAGACUUUCUCUCUGAACCUUUCUCAACUUUUUUUUUCACUUCACUUUUUUUUGCACUUUCUUUUCUUUCUUUUUUGACACACUUUUUUUAUAUAUAGAACUAAAAACAGGGAUCAGAUUAUGAUACUUGCACAACUAAAGACAGAAAUAAAACAACAACCAGUAACUAGAUAGGAUCAAAGUUAACACAAAGGAUGAUAUAGGCUAUAGAGAUUUUUUUGUGGGGGUUUUUAGAUAUAAAAGAGGCACAAAGAACACGCGAAGGAUAAAUGAUCAGCAACUAAAACAAAGACUCUAAUGGACUGCGACUUAACCGAACUCACUAAAAUAACAGAUUGAAACAAAGGUCUAAGCAAUAUAUUUUUCUGGCUUUUUGGUGGAUACGACGAAGCAAAAUAUAUAUGUAGCUAGGGAUAAAAUUCCUACCGUGGUAACGAAAGCUUUGAUACCAGAUGAUGCGACACGUUGUCCCGAUCUUCACGACGUAGGAUGAACACCGAUAACUAGCUGAAGAACAGCCGGAUAACUUGCUGCAAGCAGCGAUAACUAGUGCAACCUGGCAAAUAAAACUCGAAGCCAACCACCGUCUUUAACCGGCAACCUGAAUCGAGGAUUCGCCCAACCACACUCUCAAAGAACCAACCAACACAGCCUACAAUCAAUCAAGGAAUACCUUGAAGGGAGUAGGAGCACCAAUUGGGAGCGGAUGAAGCCGCCGCCUAUGUAAUCCCGCGAGGAAAUCAC